CGCUAUUGAAGUUUCAUACCGGAAGGAGAAGCACAUAUUACGCACUGCAUUGUUUGGUGAACGCACAGAUUCAGCUGUUUAUAUAUCAAUCAUUAUUGGCUCUAAGUCAGGGAAAGCUAAAUCUAAGUCUAGAUAUACAGAUGUUCACACAAUUUUAGAAUAAAUUGAUUGGGAAGGUGAGACAGAGAUUGUUGUAGGCCGAUUCAUUUAGCGAUUGUGGAGGAAUAUUUUUUGAACGAGAGAGGACAUCGUUUUGGACUGGACCUGAGCCCUAGGACCAUGCGUAAGGACUACCUGACAUGAUGACUCCUUGCGGUCCCCAGUCCACCUGGCCUUGCCGCUGUUUCAGUUUCAACUGUUCUGCCUGUGACUAUGGAACCCUAAACUGUUCAUUUUUACUCUUGAGGUGCUGUCCUGUUGUACCCUCUACAACCACUGUGAUCUCCACCCGGCACAGCCAGAAGAGGACUGGCCACCCCUCAUAACCUGGUUCCUCUCUUCCUAGGUUUUUGCCUUUCUAGGGAGUUUUACCUAGCCACCGUGCUUCUACACCUGCAUUGCUUGCUGUUUGGGGUUUUAGGCUGGGGCUAUAUAAAUUGAUUUGAUUUGAUAGAGGACUGAGGGUCUUCCAAAUAUUGAAAGUGUGUAAAUAGUUACCCAUGUUAUUUUGUAAAUGUAUAUAUCCCCCCCCCCCCCCAUUUUUUUCCCUCAAUUCUUGGGGGGGGGUUAGAAUACCAUUUUGGUAUUUUGUAUAUAGUUAUUUGUUUCAAAAUGUAUACCUUCACCAUUUUGGCCACUUGGGUACAUUUGGGCUACUUGUGUGGGACACCUGGGUGACUUCAUGAUAAAUGUCAUGUAGCACACUCAUUUUGGAAGUGAUCAUUCUGAAACUUUGCAUAAGUACUGAUGCCCUCUUAUAUUUUUCACUGAAAUUGUCCCCAUCAUCCUAUCUGAACGUUUGUUUUAUCUUGUUCAUUUUAAAGAUGAUGAUACAACAAUAAAAAUCGUAUGGUUUUCUUCAUUGUUUUAUCUAAA